rnacentral:rRNA from 1 species
GGAGAGCUUGCUCUCUGGAUCAGUGGCGAACGGGUGAGUAACACGUGAGCAAUCUGCCCCUGACUCUGGGAUAACAGUUGGAAACAGCUGCUAAUACCGGAUAUGAGCUGCGACCGCAUGGUCGGCAGUUGGAAAGAAUUUCGGUCAGGGAUGAGCUCGCGGCCUAUCAGCUUGUUGGUGAGGUAAUGGCUCACCAAGGCGUCGACGGGUAGCCGGCCUGAGAGGGUGACCGGCCACACUGGGACUGAGACACGGCCCAGACUCCUACGGGAGGCAGCAGUGGGGAAUAUUGCACAAUGGGCGCAAGCCUGAUGCAGCAACGCCGCGUGAGGGACGACGGCCUUCGGGUUGUAAACCUCUUUUAGCAGGGAAGAAGCGAAAGUGACGGUACCUGCAGAAAAAGCACCGGCUAACUACGUGCCAGCAGCCGCGGUAAUACGUAGGGUGCAAGCGUUAUCCGGAAUUAUUGGGCGUAAAGAGCUCGUAGGCGGUUUGUCGCGUCUGCUGUGAAACCCCGAGGCUCAACCUCGGGCCUGCAGUGGGUACGGGCAGACUAGAGUGCGGUAGGGGAGAUUGGAAUUCCUGGUGUAGCGGUGGAAUGCGCAGAUAUCAGGAGGAACACCGAUGGCGAAGGCAGAUCUCUGGGCCGUAACUGACGCUGAGGAGCGAAAGGGUGGGGAGCAAACAGGCUUAGAUACCCUGGUAGUCCACCCCGUAAACGUUGGGAACUAGUUGUGGGGGCCA